AAAUCAUUAUGGUUUAUUAAGAAUGCCUGGAUUUAUGAUUUAUGGGUUGUGGUAAUAUGUGUCCCUGUAGAGAAAGCUACCAAAUUUUUGGGAUGCUUAACCAGGAGACAUGGUGAGCUAGCAGCCCCACCCUUUGUAAGUCCUGCCCACAUUAUAUAACCACGUCCCCUCAAUCACUCUCCCCUGCACAACAAAAGAAUGAAAGACUACUGUUGAUAUGGUUCUUGGUGAGCAGGUAUCCUGUCGAGCCAAUAUUGUGGGCAUUUGGGGUUUUGAUAGUAUUGUAUUCUGAAUAAAUUGCCUUUGUGCAUGGAAAGCAUGCAUAAAAUGUCUCCUUGAAAUCUGGAUAUUGUACUUGCUGAAAUCGGUACAUAUCUGCUUCAGUUUUUGGGGUGUUCUAUGGACCUUUCCGAGUCGGGACUCAAUAAGAGUUGUGGGCCCAUUAUAACUGUGUAGGCUGGUGGUGGUUGGAGAGGGGGAAACAUUUCAGAGUGGAGUGAGUCAAUAAUAGCUUACCCACCCAGCCCUAUGUUUCAUGCAUGUUAUGUUUGUCAUGUGUGUCAUGUGUGCUCACACAGGUCCACUACAUGCUGCAAAACCCCAUGCCACAAGACAGCACGAACAUAUUAAAUAUCAACCAAAUGAUUGAAAAUGGCUGCUAUACUGCAGCCUAUCCACUGCAUGACGUAAGUUGUUGGGGGGGUAGGGGGUGGAGGGCACACUGACACCCUACGGGAGGCCCAGGUACGACACCUGAAUUGCACACCUGUAUAGGACGCUAUAGCAUAGUCUAAAGCUUACCACAUACUUAACAUUAGUGUCCCACAGAGAUGCGCCGCAUAGGUGUCCAGGUUCCCCAGCUCACUAAACACACCUCUGAUUUGCAUGGUUGGCUACAUACGGUGCAAAAGAAGUUCAAUAUCCAUGCAUUGGAAAGGACUCCACGAGCACUCUAGAGAGCCAUUCUCAAGGGUAUUUGGCCGACUAUUUCACGUGGGACAGAAGUCUUUGGAAGAAUUAGAAGUACCCACACUUCAUCCCACAACACGUGAACAACCAAUAGAUUAACUGUGGGUGCACCCAUUUACACUGCUUGCUGGGAAGAAGCAGCGUGAUUAAGAAACGUGGUCAUUGUUUUAACUGUCGUUCCCAUGAAAUCAAAUGGGCGACCUCUAACUUUGCAAGUCCAGUGCAGUGUGCAACACCAUUACACCACAGCAGCGCCACGGCAGAGUUUUGGGGGGGUGGAGCUGGUAAUUUGUGAAUGUCCAUGCAGUGUUUGUGACUAACAAUUGCUUUCCCCAUGUCAGAGUGAGUCUGUUCAUCCCACCAAAAACCCGAACACGCUGGGCGACCGCAACACGCUGCGACGGGAGUGGGCGAGAGCCGGGCGCUCUUUCAAGGAGCAGCCUCUUGACCUUGUGCGGUAAGUUCAUGCCCUAUCCACUGCUGGAUGAAGACUUCCCCAAGCCUUCGCCAUCUCUCCCAGUCUCCUGAUGCAACGAUCCAUGUGGCUCCUGCACACAUGCUGAUUUCAUUACUUAAAUCUCUGUGGUGCACAUCCUCUCAGACGCAUUCCUUCUCUUGACUGCCACAUCAUUCUUAGUCUCGACCACAGGCCAUCGUACCUCUUAGGGACGUGCCCUGUCCAGAAAGGUCCUAAGGCUGGACUUGAAUGCUAGCUGGGAGUUGAUAGCACAGACGGCUGGGGAAAUGGAGUUCCAGAAUAGCAUUUGCCCAUGCCUUCCCUGCUCUUCACAUUUCCCUCCAGCCCAUGGUCCUUGCUUACAUAUUCGAUAGCUACACCACUGGUGCCAUGUGCGGUUGGUGAUGUUUGCGCUGUGUGUGCGAGUGAUGUUGUCGGCACAGGUCAUACUUCGGGGAGCAAGUGGGGCUCUAUUUUGCAUGGCUCGGCUUCUACACAAAGAUGCUGAUCUUCGCUGCAAUCGUCGGCCUGAUCUCCUUUUUCUUUGGAGUAUUCAGCAAUGACCGUGACAUCACUAGUGGAGAAAUAUGCAACAACACCAUCGGAGGAUCCCUGGUCAUGUGUCCCCAGUGUGACCAAAAAUGCACCUUUUGGAGGCUAAAUGAUACCUGCGAGACUGCGAAGACUUCACACAUGUAUGAAAAUCCGGUCACCAUAUUCUUCGCAGUUUUCAUGGGACUUUGGGCCACGGUGUUCCUGGAAUUUUGGAAGCGUCGCCAGGCAUCGCUCGCAUACCGCUGGGACUUGACGGCAGCGGCGGAGGAAGGAGACCCCAUCCGGCCCGAGUACCUGGCUCGCUGCACGACCACGAAAUGUAACAUCAUCACCAUGAAGGAGGAGCCUCAUAUGCCUAAGAGGAUACUGAGGUUCCGAUACUGCCUCUCCGGGAUCAUGGUGUUGUUCUGGAUCCUCCUGAUUCUUGCUGCAAUUUUGGGUGUGGUUGUUUACCGCCUGUCCAUCUUUGGCAUACUCUCCUCGAGUAUCCCCAAUCAUGUGACCAAGAUCAAGGUGAUCGGUGCCCUACUCACACCUGAUAUGGUUACCACCAUCACGGCCUCCAUCCUCAACAUCGUAAUCAUAUUACUACUCAACAAAGGUUACGACAAGCUGGCCCUCGUCCUCACUGAUCUGGAGAUGCCCAAGACGCAAGGAGAAUAUGAGUAUCGGCUGACGUUCAAGAAAUUCUUAUUUCAGUUCGUCAACUUCUACUCGGCGUCUUUCUACAUUGCAUUUUUCAAGGGGAAAUUCAUCGGCUUCCCCGGAAGCUACACUUACUUUGGAAAAUGGAGAAUCGAGGAGUGUCCCCCAAACGGCUGUCUCUUUGAACUGACUUCUCAACUCACUGUCAUCAUGGUAGUGAAGCAGAUGGUUGGCAAUUUUCAGGAGGUCAUCAUCCCAUGGUUCAGCAAUUGGUGGGCCCAGCGUCGGGCCAAGCUAAGGCCUGAGGCUGUCUACACGCGCUGGGAGCAAGACAUGGACCUACAGCCCCAGAGCCCACUUGGACUCUUUGAUGAAUACCUCGAGAUGGGUACAAUGAGCUCAGAGGAUCACACUACGGAGUCAACGCGUUUUACUUUAUUAUAAAAAAACACACACAAUUGGGUAUCAUUUGACUAUAUAGGCACGUGUGUACGGCCCCUGUGUAUCUGUCGGACAUUGUUGUGGGAGGGAAAUUACCCACACUUCGGGUUGUUGAAGGCAGGGAGCACAGAUGUAAGAGCUUAGAUGUACAAUACAACAAUGUAAUUUGCUGCACUGUCCUCUGCUGCUCACAACCCCACAACAACUGUUGCAUGGUCACCCAUCCAACCAAUUUCCAGGCUCAGCUCUCCUUAACUUCUGGGAUCUGAUUAAAUCUGAUGCAUACUGGGUGAUUUGGCCAUAGGCACCAAUCUAUGGAUAUACUGUAACACAAUUGUCUUUGAGCAUGCGCGUAUGUGCAUAUGUACGGAGUUAAGUUUUAGAAACAAUAGGAGCACAUAUUUACUCCUCUUGUCUGCUAACCAAUGCAGCUACAUUGGUCAGCUUGGGUUGACGUUUCUCCCCAUAAUAUAUAUUUAAAACUCUGGUGCAUCAUGUCCACUGUGGUUAACUGCUGUGAUUUGUUGGCAUUUCAAUCACAGUGCAUAUGCCUAAAAAUGUGUGGUACGGUUAAUGGAGUCCUCAAUACAGGGUGUGAUCUUGUCAUUAUAGCCACCUAGUGGUGGAAAAUGCUGCAAAAGAAACCCAGGUGAACCAGAGCUGAGCAUUAAAGAUGGUAGUGGCUGGUCGCAUCUCAGUGGCCAAUGUAAUGGACACGAUAAUUUUGUGAACAAAUUAUACGAAAAUGUGAUCAUAUUUUGGGGUCUCCUUUGACUAAAACACAUUCAAUGCAUUGAAAACAUGUUUUGUUUGCUUAAAGUAAUCACAACAUAACAGCAUUAAGAGUCUAUGUCUAUAUCCUGUUUCACUCAUUAUUCUAUCCUUGCCCCCCUACCCAUUCUCAAAAUAUACCCCAGUUAUCCAAUUCGGGUUUGUCACUCUCUUUGUGGCAUCAUUUCCACUUGCGCCAUUGCUCGCACUGCUCAACAACAUCAUUGAAGUGCGGGUCGACGCGUGGAAGCUCGUAACAAAGAUGAGGAGGCCUGUGGUUUCGCGAGCAAGAGGAAUUGGAGCCUGGGCCGACAUUCUGAGUAUCGUUGCCACCCUCUCCGUAAUCACCAAUUCAUGCAUCUUGGCGUUCACAACGGACAUCAUCCCACGCCUGGUGUAUUAUUAUGGAUACUCAGCAGAGUAUGGAACAGGUUCGCCUACAAUGCAUGGGUACACGGAGGACAGCCUUUCAAUUUUCAAGAUCAGCGACUUCAAGGAGCAAAAUCAUCCCAACAUCCUGCCAGCCUGGUUUGAUCCGGCAAUACACACAACCUGCAGGUUUGUGCCAUUCAGUGUCAUGCCCAGCUAUCGGGGGUGCCGUCCCUGCGAAUGUGAUGCACUGAUCUCUGGGUGUGUUGUCCAGGUAGAUGCGACAUCCUUC